GGCUCAUUGGUUCAGAGCCAGAGCGUCUGUCUCGUAAACUGAAGGCCGUUGGUUCGAUUCCAGCAUGAGGCA
rfam:Ascaris lumbricoides genome assembly, scaffold: ALTE_scaffold0010388